rnacentral:rRNA from 1 species
GACGAACGCUGGCGGCGUGCCUAAUACAUGCAAGUUGAGCGCUGAAGGUUGGUACUUGUACCGACUGGAUGAGCAGCGAACGGGUGAGUAACGCGUGGGGAAUCUGCCUUUGAGCGGGGGACAACAUUUGGAAACGAAUGCUAAUACCGCAUAAAAACUUUAAACACAAGUUUUAAGUUUGAAAGAUGCAAUUGCAUCACUCAAAGAUGAUCCCGCGUUGUAUUAGCUAGUUGGUGAGGUAAAGGCUCACCAAGGCGAUGAUACAUAGCCGACCUGGGAGGGUGGUCGGCCAAAUUGGGACUGAGACACGGCCCAAACGCCUACGGGAGGCAGCAGUAGGGAAUCUUCGGCAAUGGACGAAAGUCUGACCGAGCAACGCCGCGGGAGGGAAGAAGGUUGUCGGAUCGGAAAACUCGGUUGGUAGAGAAGAACGUUGGUGAGAGUGGAAAGCUCAUCAAGUGACGGUAACUACCCAGAAAGGGACGGCUAACUACGUG